rnacentral:rRNA from 1 species
AACGAACGCUGGCGGCAGGCCUAACACAUGCAAGUCGAACGAAACCUUCGGGUUUAGUGGCGCACGGGUGCGGAACACGUGGGAAUGUACCCUCAGGUAAGGAAUAACUGCUGGAAACGGUAGCUAAUACCUCAUAAUGGCUUCGGCCCAAAGAUUUAUCGCCUGAGGAUCAGCCCGCGUCUGAUUAGAUUGUUGGUGAGGUAACGGCUCACCAAGUCGACGAUCAGUAGCUGGUCUGAGAGGACGACCAGCCACACUGGAACUGAGACACGGUCCAG